rnacentral:rRNA from 1 species
GACAGAGGGUGCAAACGUUGUUCGGAAUUACUGGGCGUAAAGCGCGCGCAGGCGGUUAUGCAAGACAGAUGUGAAAUCCCCGGGCUCAACCUGGGAACUGCAUUUGUGACUGCAUGGCUAGAGUGCGGCAGAGGGGGAUGGAAUUCCGCGUGUAGCAGUGAAAUGCGUAGAUAUGCGGAGGAACACCGAUGGCGAAGGCAAUCCCCUGGGCCUGCACUGACGCUCAUGCACGAAAGCGUGGGGAGCAAACAGG